UUUAGGCUUAGGCUUAGGCUUAAGUAUUGGUUUAGGAUUAGGCUUAGGCUUAAGCUUAGGCUUAGGCUU
ensembl:ncRNA T12C9.8 ncRNA